rnacentral:rRNA from 1 species
UACAGAGGGGGCAAGCGUUGUUCGGAAUUACUGGGCGUAAAGGGCGCGUAGGCGGCCCGCUAAGUCGAGUGUGAAAUUCCAGGGCUUAACUCUGGCACGCUCGCUCGAUACUGGUCGGCUAGAGUGUGGAAGAGGAUGCUGGAAUUCCCGGUGUAGCGGUGAAAUUCGUAGAUAUUGGGAAGAACACCGGUGGCGAAGGCGGCCAUCUGGACCGCAACUGACGCUGAGGCGCGAAAGCGUGGGGAGCAAACAGGG